UCAGCUGCUUUGUAAAGUCCGAUGACAGAGCUGUCAGGUUUCUUACUUGAGAAACUGUGUGAUGUCUGCAAAGAGGGGGAAAGGGUGACCCUGAAGAAAAUAGCGAUGUCAUGAAUCGACGGAUCUAACAACGUAGUCUGGGCUCCGUGCCAAAGGCUGGUAUUUCACAGCAGCGACCGCCUUACAGAUGAGCUGUGGGAAGCAGGAGGGAGAAUCUCUUAGGGUGCCACUACUAUGGAGACACAGCUGGGCUGAACAAGAUUCGCUUCAUACGACAACAAGAGAGGCAGAAAAAGUGUCUGGUUCAAGCGCUGCCCAGGCAGGCAGUAACCAGAAGAGCUAGCAGCCAAUCCGGCCAUGCUGCACUGUUCGAAACCAGCUCCACAUCUCAGCCAAUCAGUGACAUCAUUGGUCUUUGGGGAUUUUCACUACGUAGCUGGCAACACAACGGUCUUAUUUAACCAUCAGACAUACUGCACAAAUGAUAUCUGGUUGCCAUGAAGACAUCUUUAGAAAGAGGUACAUUUCAGAAAUGGAAGUGCUCUGAAAAAAUAAAAUGGAAAAGAAAAAGGAAGAAUUUGAUCAUGUAGGAACUGGAAGAGCUGAACUGCUUCAUGAAGAAAGACAUGAAUGAGUUAUAUACACCAGACUCUACUUCAGUGGCCAGGACCUUUAAGGCUGCUGAUUCUUUGGCUCUGGUUUCUCCUGCCGAACAUCAUGGAUCUGUUCCUAAAGGAGACAUUUUCUUUUCCUUUCUACAAAUGAGACUAAAAUGAUGAAGGACAGAUAAUGUGAAUCUUUUCAGUAUUGUGGUUGUAUCAUUAAAUAUCUUGGACUUUAAAAACAAGAGUGAUUGGGAGGGAGGAAUCUGUUUCUUCUUUUUCCUAACAGUGUAAAGGAUGUUUUUUGCAAGUUCAAAUGUGGUUCAAGUGACCCAGCACAAAGAAUGACAAGUUGCUAGAAGUCACUGGGUUCUACAGUUUAGGAAGUGAAAAGUAGAUCUGCUCUCAGAAGCAGAAGUUUUUUCAUAUUCGUCUACAGAUGAAAAAUUUAAUAUGGGAAUGAGGGGAAAAAAACUUAAAUUAUGCCCAAAGGGCAUUUUUGCUCUAGAACGGCUUUGAAGCACAGAAUGUAUUAGGGCCCAGUAUAACAAUGGUACUGGAGAUAAAAUGCUGAACUGUUUCAUCUUUGUUUAAGCCAAUGGAAAAAAUGGAAGGAAAUCGUGUAAAAGUCUGCUUCAAGCAGAUUUUAACCUGUGUUUAGCUCCCUCUGCUUACUUCCUUUGCAUGCACAACUUUAAAAGCCUUAUAGAUGGGAUUUUUUUUAAAAAAAAAUCUCAGUAAUUUU